UACGUAGGGGGCAAGCGUUGCCCGGAAUUAUUGGGCGUAAAGAGCGUGUAGGCGGUCCGGUAAGUCAGCUGUGAAAGUCAAGGGCUCAACCCUUGAAUGCCGGUUGAUACUGUCGGGCUAGAGUCCGGAAGAGGCGAGUGGAAUUCCCGGUGUAGCGGUGAAAUGCGCAGAUAUCGGGAGGAACACCAAUGGCGAAGGCAGCUCGCUGGGACGGUACUGACGCUGAGACGCGAAAGCGUGGGGAGCAAACAGG
rnacentral:rRNA from 1 species